rnacentral:rRNA from 1 species
UUGAACGCUGGCGGUAUGCUUUACACAUGCAAGUCGAACGGGCUAUGGGGCUUGCUCCAUAGUUAGUGGCGAACUGGUGAGUAAUGCAUCGGAACGUACCCAGUCGUGGGGGAUAACUACGCGAAAGCGUGGCUAAUACCGCAUACGCCCUGAGGGGGAAAGCGGGGGACCUUCGGGCCUCGCGCGAUUGGAGCGGCUGAUGUCGGAUUAGCUAGUUGGUGGGGUAAAGGCCUACCAAGGCGACGAUCCGUAGCUGGUCUGGGAGGAUGAUCAGCCACACUGGGACUGAGACACGGCCCAGACUCCUACGGGAGGCAGCAGUGGGGAAUUUUGGACAAUGGGCGCAAGCCUGAUCCAGCCAUGCCGCGUGAGUGAAGAGGGCCUUCGGGUUGUAAAGCUCUUUCAGACGGAAAGAAAUCGGGCGCGUGAAUAGCGUGCCUGGAUGACGGUACUGUCAGAAGAAGCACCGGCUAACUACGU